GAGUUUGAUCAUGACUCAGGAUGAACGCUGACGGCAUGCCUUACACAUGAAAGUCGGACGAGAAGUGGUGUUUUCAGUGGCGGAAGGGUGAUCAACGCGUUAGAACAUGCCCUUGGGAGGGGAACAACAGCUGGAAACGGCUGCUAAUACCAUGUAGGCUGAGGAAAAAACGAGGAAUCCGCCGAAGGAGGUGCUGGCGUCUGAUUAGCUAGUUGGUGGGGCAAUAGCUUACCAAGGCUAUGAUCAGUAGUUGGUCCGAGAGGAUGAUCAGCCACACUGGGACUGAGACACGGCCCAGACUCCAACGGGAGGCAACAGUGGUGUUUUUUCCACAAUGGGCGAAAGCGUGAUGGAGCUAUGCCGCAUGGAGGUAGAAGGCCUACGGGACAUGAACUUCUUUUAACGGAGAAGAAGCAAUGAUGUUGUAACACCCCAAAUUUAUCCUCCUUGAAAUUUGGUAAUAGUCCUGAAGGAGGAGGGCAUACUGCCAGAUUCUCGCUUGAGCGAGAGGGUCUCACCC